CCUAACACAUGCAAGUCGAACNGGUAACAGGAAGCAGCUUGCUGCUUCGCUGACGAGUGGCGGACGGGUGAGUAAUGUCUGGGAAGCUGCCUGAUGGAGGGGGAUAACUACUGGAAACGGUAGCUAAUACCGCAUAAUGUCGCAAGACCAAAGAGGGGGACCUUCGGGCCUCUUGCCAUCGGAUGUGCCCAGAUGGGAUUAGCUUGUUGGUGGGGUAACGGCUCACCAAGGCGACGAUCCCUAGCUGGUCUGAGAGGAUGACCAGCCACACUGGAACUGAGACACGGUCCAGACUCCUACGGGAGGCAGCAGUGGGGAAUAUUGCACAAUGGGCGCAAGCCUGAUGCAGCCAUGCCGCGUGUAUGAAGAAGGCCUUCGGGUUGUAAAGUACUUUCAGCGGGGAGGAAGGGAGUAAAGUUAAUACCUUUGCUCAUUGACGUUACCCGCAGAAGAAGCACCGGCUAACUCCGUGCCAGCAGCCGCGGUAAUACGGAGGGUGCAAGCGUUAAUCGGAAUUACUGGGCGUAAAGCGCACGCAGGCGGUUUGUUAAGUCAGAUGUGAAAUCCCCGGGCUCAACCUGGGAACUGCAUCUGAUACUGGCAAGCUUGAGUCUCGUAGAGGGGGGUAGAAUUCCAGGUGUAGCGGUGAAAUGCGUAGAGAUC
rnacentral:rRNA from 1 species